GUGGCAGGAAGGUGCAAUGAGUGCCCAGCUGGGGAGCAGCCGGAGUUAUUUCUAUGGGAGGGAGGGGGCCUGGUCCCCGCCUUGGGGAGGAGUCCCAGGAACCCUAAUUAGCAGGGUGACAGGGUGGCCUAGCUGGGCAUUACUGAGUCCUCACCCAAGCUCUUCCCUGUCCUAAGAGUGGCACAGGAUAGCCAGCGGGACUUGUAAUUAGGCACCUGUUAAACUUCACUUCCUCCUGGCCACAUCCUCAGAGUGACAACAGUCACCUCAUUUACAGCUUCCAAGGGCUCCCCUCACCACUCAUUUGCUGCCUCCUUCCCUGGGGGAAGUGGGGAAGAGGAAGGAGAAGCCAGGCUUGGGAGGAAGAGUGGCCAGGCUCUGAAGAGUUAAUCCUGAUCCCAGGGCAUAGGGUUCCCCAGGAAUGUCCAGCCCACCUUCCCCCGAGGCUUCAGGUCUUUCAAAUGGAGUCAGGCCUCCUGAGCUGAAAGAGGAGAGAAGGGGUAUGUGCAGGAACAGAGUCUCCUCCUAGCUGUCCCCUCUGGAAAUGUCCUCCGCACCCAUACCUGACUCAAGGCCAUCCCCAAGUGUAGGGGACCCCUGGGAGCAGGGGUGCUAUGGGGGAUUCAGGGUGUGUGGUAGGAGUAAGGUGACUGAUGAGCUAGUGAGGGAGUGUUGGAGAGAACAGUGCCAAGAGGACCGGGGAAGGGGGUGCCAGUGUAGGCGUGUGCACCCCUCAGCAAUGUGUCUGUGGGAGGGAGGCAGGAUGUCCGUGCCAGGGUGUCUCUGUGAGCAUGGCUAAGCCCCUCUGAGUGAACUUCUUGAGGGAUCGCUUGGUGUCUUGGCUUCUCUGCCCAGAAAGAGUGGCCAGGUCUUGAGGGUUAAUGCAAUCCUAGUAUUAACUGGGUCCUUGAGACCAAGGACCCUCACAACCUGGACUGGUCAUCGGGCUGACUAAACCAGCACAGUUCUGGGUAGGUUGGCGCUGGGGUGGGGAGGGUCCUGGUAGGCAUGGGGAGCAAGGGGAGGGCCGCCCUUGUUGGCUUGUCUGAGGGGGACUGAAUGGGCCUGUGCCUCACUGGACUCCAUGGUAGGAGUCAGGACAUGAGUGAUCCCAUUCAAUAGCUUGACUCCCUCAAAGGAGUCAGGGACUGCCCCCAUCCCUACCAUGGGGCACAGAAAGGGCAGAGGAGGAAGAGUGUUGGGGAGAGUUAUGGGGCUCAGGGAUGCUGCCAGGGCCCAUCCCUCUGAGGAAAAAUAAGACAGAACAUUAAGGAAACACAAGGAGUCCACGCGUCUCUGCAUUCCAAGCCCUUGCACCUGAACUCCCAACAAUAACAGGGCACUCUGAGACCUACCAGAUGUACGCAAUGAAUAUCUUCAUUUCCUUAUAUAUUUUUAGGUUUAUGGGAUUGUCCUCCUCCCUUUGAAGAGCAGGGAUCAUUAUCCCCAUUUUACAGAUAGGGAAACAGAGGCCUGAGAAACAUGGGGAUUCAGCCAAUGCGGCUGGUGCCUAAGCUGGGAUACCCAGGUACCCAGGGUGUCAGUCCAGAGUGUCCAAAAAAUGGUCUUGGUGAUCCUGUGGAUUACUAGACCCACUCACAAACAAGAACCAUGGAAGGUCAGGGUGAGUGGGAGGGAAAACAGGUGAGACCAUGAACAGAGAGAUUGAGGAGAAAGCAGUAAGGUUGUGGUUCCACUAAACUACAGUGCAGGCUUGGGAUUUAAUUGGGUUCUGGAUGUGGGCUAAUGUUAGAAUUGGGGUUAAGUUUGGGGUUAGUUGAAUUAUGAAUGAGGUUGAGGUCAGAUUUGAGGUUGGGAUUAGAGUUAAGGUUGGGAUUAAGGUUAGAAAUACAGCUAGAAUUGAGGCUCGGGUUUAUGGCUGGGGUUGUGUUACGAUGAGGAAUAGAGUUUUAGUUUCAUUUAGAGCUCUGCCUGGGAAUACAGUUAGGGCUACAUCAAAGGCUGGGUUUAGAUUUAUUUAGGAUUGGGGUUAUAAUUGGGUUAAAACUGAGUUUGAGAUUCAUGUUGAAAUAGGCUGUGGUUAGGAUUGGAACAUGGUUUAAAGACACGUAAGCAGUGGGAGUUGGUAGGGAUCAAAGAUGAGGUUUUAUUUCUAAUAUAGAAAGACUUCAGCCUCCAUCUGCUAAAUCCAGGUUUGGCUAGAAUUUUCAACCCUUAGUGCAGGGAGACUACUAGUAGCACAUGUUGAUUAGGGUCCCAAGACUUGGAGGAGGAAGCCAAACGUACACAAGCCCAUCUAAGGGGUAUGAGGCAACUAAAUCCCAUACAGAAUGGACCCUCUGAAGUCCUGCUCCACUACUAAAGCUCACCACCUGGCCAAGCUCCAGGAAAAGCAUAUGGGGAGGGGACGUGGGAAGCUAUUGACAAUGAGUGGGGCUCUGACACCAAACCGGACUAGAAGAUGGGGUCCAUCAGAGGGAGUCUUACUGAGUGGGGAGGAAGGGUGGUCUGGAUUUGGAGUCCUCAGGAGAUGGGACUUGGGAGAAACUGAGGGUCUACAUGCUCCUAGAACAGCCACUUUACGGGGCACCACAUGGGGAUCUUUCAAAGCCUGAAAGGGCAGAGUGCCAUUGUUGUUCCCCCUUGACUCUCUGAGGCUUAAUUGCUACCUCCUUGCAAUUUGAGUCCUGUAAAAGAAGCUGUCAGCCUUCUAGCCCUAUACCCUGAGCCCUGCAGGGUUUUCGGGGAGGGCAGUGGUGGGGAGGCUGUGGAUGGGGUGAAGGCACUGGGAUGUCAACAUAGUUUCCAAAGCAUAUGUCGCAGCCCCACAGUCCCCUCCCUCUGUGAGAACACCAGCUCGCAGUCUGUGUUUCUCUCUGGGCCGUAUCCUCAGCAGUGGAAGAGGCCCCACUCCUAGGAAGAUCCCUAUCCCAACUCCUCCCUCUCAUUUUUCCCCAGCCAGUCUCCACCCCAAACCUCUCAUUUCCCCACCCACUUCCUUUUCAAGUUUUAUAAAGGUCUGGUCGAGGAGACUACUGGGGUUCCCCCUGUGACCCCAGAGAGAGAGAAGAAAGAGAUUGGGAGAGAUAGUGAUGAGUUAAGGGGCAAAGACAGAGACUGGGACAGAGACAGACAGAAAGACACAUGGUCUAAAUGGCCCCUCCGGAGACUCAGAGGGAGACAGAGGAGGCAGAGCGCCCAGGCCACGAGCUGGGAACCAACACAAAUUUCCGAAAGGGCCCCUUGCUUUUUCCUGAGAAAUCCAUGACUCUCCAGGGAAGAAUGGCCCUGGUUUGACUGGUAUUUGCUUCUAUUCUAAGACAAUAAUAGAAAAUCAAAGAUGGGCCUAGAAAGGAGUAAACAGGGAGAUACAGGAGGUAGGAAGAGGCUGGACAAAGUCUCAGAGAAGGCCACAGACUGCUUCCAGUAUGAAGUGCAGCCCAGCCCCAGAACCUUUCAGGGAAGGACAGGCAGAGGGCUUAGGCUGCCUACUCUUCCUCCAAAGCCUAUUCUUCCUCCAAAGUCCCUUUCACAGCAACUCCACCCCAGCCCUCUAAGCCCUGCCCUUCCCUGCCUGGACUUGCCCACCCCAACCCCUCUCACUAGCCGCCAGACUCCCUGGGCUCAGGCUCAAUCAAGCUCCCCACAACCCCUGCCUUGGCUGGCACUGCAAUUUGACUCUUUCUAAACUCCUCCCUACACAGUCAGCAAGCUCCUCAGCCCCCUCUCUCAAGUCCCCAUGUAGUGCUGGGCUCACCCUGCAGCACCCAGGGAGGAGUUGUCCUGCAGAGGAAACCUCUGAGGUAAGACUCUGGGAGCAGAAGCUGUGAGUGACAAUGGAUAGGCAAAGAGUCACAGAGAAGCCAAGAAGCCUUGCAGCUGCUGUCUGUCCACCCAGCUUUCAGUGACGAUUUGGAGGUGGAGGUCUGCCAGGUGAGGCCAUGGUUGCAUGAGAAGGGCAGGGGGCUCAGAGGUUGCAUGGGUGGUGAUGGGACAAUAUCGGGUUCUGGUUACAGAGAGGGAUGAGAUCGACAUGUGGGGUUAAGUUUGAGGGUGUGGGUUGGGUUCGAGACUAAGGCUCAGAUCAAAGCUGGCAGGGAAGAGCUGUGAACACAGGUGACACAGGGACGCCCCAAGCCCCUGCUUAGGUUUCCCAAACCUCAAUGCUUCUGACUGGUACACUUCAAAAGAAGUAGGAUUCUAGGAGGAGCCUGGAUAUGCCCACAUCUCUCCCAUCAAGCAAUGUCCUGAAGCUGACAGACUCAGAAGAGCAAGCAGCACACACAUAGUCCUCAUCAAUUAAAGGAGUGGCCAGAGCUGUCACUACAUCAACAAAGCACAAGAGCAAAGGGAGGCAAUUGAAUGCCACCAACUGAACUGUUAGCAAGAGAAUGAGUGGAGGCAAGAAGAAAUCGCUUGUAAAGGGUAUGUGAUUUCCUGAUGACAGAUCUGAGGAAGAAUGAAGAGACUUUGCAGAUAAAGGUAUCUUCACCUCGCCAAGAUCAACUACAUCCUGCAGAACCUUCAUUCAUUCAGCAAACAGCUGGGCUUUAUGCUAGGCCCUGGGGAAAUGGCAAUUAAGGAGACUCAGUCUCUAUCCUUACAGAGCAUCCCAUCUGAUAGGGAAAUAGCUCCUGGCCUGCAAUGUGGUAAGCUGCAGUAAUACGUGCAAGGACCCUGACCUAGUGGCAAUGAUGUUUGAGCCGAGAUCUGAAGGAUAACUAACAACAGCGUGCCAGAGAAAGGAGUAGGGGGUGGAGAGAAGUGGCCAGGGGAAUAUUGCUGGGCUUGGUAAGUAAGCCAGGUCCCUGCUAGACAUGGCCUGAGAAGAGCAAAGCCAGGAGUGAUAGCUGAUGAUUAUUUUUUAACUGAGGAAAGAAGAUCCUUGAGAACAGAACCCCUUGGGACCUUCUACCCAGAACACCAGAGCACCUCACAGGGAUCAGAGCCAGGCCCUCAGGUGGAUUAAGCAACUAAAAUUGAUUGUCCUGAACCAUGAGUCUGUCUGUUUAUGGGGAAAGAAACUUUGUGAUGAAUUAAUCCACAGGUCCAAUGGGACUUUGACCUUUUAAUUUGUAGAAAUAAAACUUGCCUUUGAUUUUGCCA